rnacentral:rRNA from 1 species
CAGCUCGUGUCGUGAGAUGUUGGGUUAAGUCCCGCAACGAGCGCAACCCUUGCCAUUAGUUGCUACAUUCAGUUGGGCACUCUAAUGGGACUGCCGGUGACAAACCGGAGGAAGGUGGGGAUGACGUCAAGUCCUCAUGGCCCUUAUGGGUAGGGCUUCACACGUCAUACAAUGGUCGGGACAGAGGGUUGCCAAGCCGCGAGGCGGAGCCAAUCUCAGAAACCCGAUCGUAGUCCGGAUCGCAGUCUGCAACUCGACUGCGUGAAGUCGGAAUCGCUAGUAAUCGCGGAUCAGCAUGUCGCGGUGAAUACGUUCCCGGGUCUUGUACACACCGCCCGUCACACCAUGGGAGUGGGUUUCACCAGAAGUAGGUAGCCUAACCGC